rnacentral:misc_RNA from 1 species
GACGAAGAACGUAGCGAAAUGCGAUACGUAAUGUGAAUUGCAGAAUUCAGUGAAUCAUCGAGUCUUUGAACGCACAUUGCGCCCCCUGGUAUUCCGGGGGGCAUGCCUGUCCGAGCGUCAUUGCUGCCCUCAAGCACGGCUUGUGUGUUGGGCCUCCGUCCUCCUCCCGGGGGACGGGCCCGAAAGGCAGCGGCGGCACCGCGUCCGGUCCUCGAGCGUAUGGGGCUUCGUCACCCGCUCUUGUAGGCCCGGCCGGCGCUUGCCGACACAUCAAUCUUUUUUCCAGGUUGACCUCGGAUCAGGUAGGGAUACCCGCUGAACUUAAGCAUAUCAAUAAGCGGAGGA